rnacentral:rRNA from 1 species
GUGGGGAAUAUUGGACAAUGGGCGAAAGCCUGAUCCAGCCAUGCCGCGUGUGUGAAGAAGGUCUUCGGAUUGUAAAGCACUUUAAGUUGGGAGGAAGGGCAGUAAGUUAAUACCUUGCUGUUUUGACGUUACCAACAGAAUAAGCACCGGCUAACUUCGUGCCAGCAGCCGCGGUAAUACGAAGGGUGCAAGCGUUACUCGGAAUUACUGGGCGUAAAGCGUGCGUAGGUGGUUCGUUAAGUCUGCCGUGAAAGCCCCGGGCUCAACCUGGGAAUGGCGGUGGAUACUGGCGGGCUAGAGUACGGUAGAGGGUAGUGGAAUUUCCUGUGUAGCGGUGAAAUGCGUAGAUAUAGGAAGGAACACCAGUGGCGAAGGCGACUACCUGGACUGAUACUGACACUGAGGUGCGAAAGCGUGGGGAGCAAACAGGAUUAGAAACCCGGGUAGUCC